GACGAACGCUGGCGGCGUGCUUAACACAUGCAAGUCGAACGGGCCUUGUCCCCUUUUUUUUUGGGGGCGGGGUUAGUGGCGAACGGGUGAGUAACACGUGAGUAACCUGCCCCUCACUUCUGGAUAACCGCUUGAAAGGGUGGCUAAUACGGGGUGUUCUGGCCUGCUCGCAUGGGUGGGUUUGGAAAGAUUCGACCGGUUUUGGUUGUUUUGGUGGGGGAUGGGCUCGCGGCCUAUCAGCUUGUUGGUGGGGUGAUGGCCUGCCAAGGCUUUGACGGGUAGCCGGCCUGAGAGGGUGGGCGGUCACACUGGGACUGAGACACGGCCCAGACUCCUACGGGAGGCAGCAGUGGGGAAUAUUGCACAAUGGGCGCAAGCCUGAUGCAGCGACGCCGCGUGAGGGAUGGAGGCCGUCGGGUUGUGAACCUCUUUCGCCAGUGAAGAAGGUCCUGCUCUUUGUGGUGGGGUUGACGGUAGCUGGGUUAAUGAAGCGCCGGCUAACUACGUG
rnacentral:rRNA from 1 species